CCGAGAAGGGAGAUGACGAGAGCCACCGCGAGCGUGUCCAGGGAACGUAUGUUCCGUUGCGAGAAGGAGCUUGCGGAAGCUGCUUUGAAAGACAGAGGGAGCUCCUACGGAUUAGAUAUGUUUAGAACACGUGAGCUUAGUCGUCGUGAAAGGGGUCAGUCUGACAACGUGGACUACGAGCGUUACGGGUUGAUCCCUAUCCAUCGGGACGUCAACUCCUAGGCUUACAGCCAGAGAGGGAAAAUCACUUUCAUCUGGAGAAGCUCGUCCGUUAACACCGGGCGGCCCAUCUGCAGCUCCCCGCUGUUCCUAAAAGAAAGAUUAAGGAUUUGAGUUGGCCUGACGGAGAGAUCUACCAGGCGACUCCGGCCCAUGGAGGAUGCAGAGCAUCACAUCAGAUCAAACAUUGAUAAACCAGUACUUUACCAGCGUUUUAUCAAUAUCUUUAAAG